AGACCACAUUUUUUUCACCCAGAUCCCGAGCUCUCUCUUUGUAAGGUGAUUGAAGGGUUCCGUUAAAAGGGUCCAAUAAUUUGAUUAAUAAUAAUAAAGAAAAAGAAUUAGGAAAGUAGAAACUCCACAAGUUUUACUGCAAUUCUCUCCUUCCUUACACAUUUUCUCUCUCUUUAUUUUGAUACUCGAAAAAUUGAUGAAUAAGGUAAAAUCAUGAAGCUUAAACUUGAACAUUUACUGAAAAGUAUGUUCCAACUGCAUCCAUUGAAGAACGGUGGCAAGGCUGUCGAUAGCACAAGUGUUGACUGUGAUAUCGCAGAGGCAGAAGUCAGCACUAAGGGAAGCAUACAAGAACAAGAAGUGCCUGUUUCUCGACCUUCUUCCCAAGAAGACCAGAGCCAUCCGGAGACGUCUUACAAAUCAUCAAACAGUUGAAUCUUGACCUUGAUUCUUAUGGAUACGUUGAUAAUCUUUUAAUAAUUGAAAGAACUACAUAAUGAUCUUCUUUCUUUGGUAAUAGUUUGUUAGUUUCGGUAAUAGUUUGUUAGUUUUGUACUCGGUUCUUCAAAUGUGAUGCAUCAAUUUAUUUUAUUAUAAUUAUUGACAUUAUAGUCUUUUUU